rnacentral:hammerhead_ribozyme from 1 species
AUCUAGCUGACGAGUCGCAAAUAGAAUGAAAUAUGCGUCCUGGAU